ACAGUCAACAGAUGUGCUCCAUCUAAAGCCUGAUAUGUUUGAUAUUUGGUUUGUUGAAAUGAUAGCCAACCGUGCAUCGAACAUAUCACGCAAGAAAGAGAGCCUUUCACCAAGAUGUCG
rnacentral:precursor_RNA from 10 species